GGGCCGGUAGCUCAAUGGGAGAGCAGCUGGCUCAUAACCAGUUGGUCGGAGGUUCGAUCCCUCCCCGGCCCA
rnacentral:tRNA from 6 species